rnacentral:rRNA from 1 species
CCUACGGGUGGCAGCAGUGGGGAAUAUUGCACAAUGGGGGAAACCCUGAUGCAGCGACGCCGCGUGAGCGAAGACGUAUUUCGGUAUGUAAAGCUCUAUCAGCAGGGAAGCAAAUGACGGUACCUGAGUAAGAAGCUCCGGCUAAAUACGUGCCAGCAGCCGCGGUAAUACGUCGGGAGCCAGCGUUAUCCGGAUUUACUGGGCGUAAGGGGAGCGUAGGCGGCCUGACAAGUCUGCUGUGAAAUACCGGGGCUCAACCCCGGGGCUGCAGUGGAAACUGGCAGUCUGGAGUGCCGGAGAGGCAGGCGGAAUGCGUAGUGUAGCGGUGAAAUGCGUAGAUAUUAGGAGGAACACCAGUGGCGAAGGCGGCCUGCUGGAGGGUGACUGACGCUGAUGCUCGAAAGCGUGGGUAGCAAACAGGAUUAGAUACCCUAGUAGUC